GGCAGCGUGUCAGGAGCGGCCGCACGUGUGAGCAAGGGGCGGAGGGGAGGAAGCUGGCGCCGGGCGCCGCGGCUGCAAGGACCGGAAGGGCCCGGGGGCACGGCCGGGAGCCGCGGGCCGCCUCACACGUGGGCUCCGCGGCCACCGCCCGCCCGGCCCGGCCUGCGCGGCCGCGGCACACCAGCCGAGACCCGGCCGGGCGGCGUCGGGGGAGGGCCAGCACGCCGGCUGGGGCGCGGAGUCGGGGGGCGGCGAGCUCGCUUACCUCUGCCUGUUUCCGGACCACAUUGUCGGGGCUGAGCAGGUUUCCCAGGAGCAGAUCUGAGGUUCGGGGAUUACUCACAGUAGUCAAAGCUGUUCUCAGCACUAAGGUUGCCCCAGUCUGGAUGUCAUUAAUUCCACUGUUCUGACCUCAUGGCUCGGAGACAUCACCAUGGAGACAUCUGACUGCAAUUAUGACCCGCUGCAGCCUCUGGGCCUCAGAUUCUUCAUCUACAUAGUAAGAGUGUUAGACUAGACCUCAAAGACCCCUUCUGCUCUUGAAGUUUUGCAAAGAAUGUCAACAUCCUUUGAGAAAGCAUGAACAUAGAAAAUGAAGAUAUUUACCUGAGCCAUUGCAGGCAUAACUCUGAUCAGCGCUGAAAAGAAUCUGUAAAUGGGUUGAAGUUGCCAUGUUUUAAAAUCAGUGAACACAGCCAAAGAUUAAGUCAGGAGACUUGACUUGAUAUCUGCUUUGAUGUGUCACUGUGAGGUUUUGGAGGAGUCACAUGCCCUCUCAUGGUUAUUUCCUUUUAUGUAAAAUGGGCAUUAUAUUAUCUGCAUACCUCCCUCUAUGAAAUGUUCCCGUUGAAUGAUUAAAUGAGCAAAUAUUGUCAUGCAAAUUAAAGAAAAAGAUUUUAACAAUGGUUUAUAUAUAAUUCAAAACAAAAAUGCUGUCAUUGAAAGGCUUCUUUCCUUGGAAGAAAAUUUAUGUCCCCUAAUUUUUUUGGGGGGCCCCAUUUCACUUUGGGCUUAUCAUUUCCUCUUAUAACUUAAUAUGGCAUAGUAAUAUUUAAAGCAAACAUGUAAAUAAAAGCUUAAUGAAGUCAUGAUAAAUGUGAACAAAGCUAAGAAGAACAUAAAUUUAUAAAAUAUUUCCUUUCAAAUUCAGCCUUGUAAAAAACCUAUUUUAAUUGUAACAGUUGUUAAGCAUAUUUCUAGGUGACCCUUCCCCAACAUCUCUACUGAUUUCACUAUUAAGUUGUCUUUCUAGUCAGAUCUCAAAAACCAGACGUCAAGGGACCAUGUCUAAUUUCUCCUUUGUAACAUCUCAAUACCUACAACAAUGUGUGUACCUGGUAUUUACUCAGCAAAUACUGAUUUUUUUUGUUGCCUGGUGAUAAAAUGUAAAUAAGACAAUGGAAAUUC